AUUUUAAUGAUGUCACAAUGUAGAACCCUAAACGUUUGCUCUGAAUUGAAAGAGUACUAUUUAUGAGAUUUAACAAAAAGUGAUUAACAAAAAAAGAGUUGUUACACUUCCCACGUUGGUGACCUACUUGAAUCAAAAUGCAACACUUCAAAAUGUAGAGAUCUGUUUUCUACAAAUUGUCCUCUAACCAGUGAUGUUAACAUUAUUCCCAGAUUUGGUGUGGGUUUUGAGCUGUUAGUUUUAACAGGACGUGCAACCUCAUCUCCCUCUCGCACAAAUUAUUUUUAGCAUGAUAUCGAUGAGUUAUGACAAAUAAGUGUUGCGUUCCUUUGUUUAGUGACCCCUACAUUUAAAUGCAUCACUCCAAAAUAUAGCUGACUGUCCUCUAAUCAGUGAGGUAAAAUAUAUCUCCCAUUUCCAUGUGUUUUUUUUUAGUUGUGUUAGUUUCAACAGCACGAACAACCUGAUUUCCACCCUAAUUGAUAUCAGUGAUUUAUUGCUAUUUGACAAAACAACAGCGUUUUUGGUGCUUGUGCAGUUUAUAAGGAGCUUGUUUAAAUAAAUACAAGUAAUAUGA